AUCCUAAAUCCUUUAACGAGGAUCUAUUGGAGGGCAAGUCUGGUGCCAGCAGCCGCGGUAAUUCCAGCUCCAAUAGCGUAUAUUAAAGUUGUUGCGGUUAAAAAGCUCGUAGUUGGUUCUGCGUGCCACGCUGUCGGUUCACCGCCUGUCGGUGCAACUGGCAUGCCGUGGCAUGUCCUGUCGGUGGGGGAUAGGYUUCKCAGMGGUACCUACCKCCAGGUAGGCCGUCGCGUUGUCCUUGUACGCCGGCUCAAUCCUGCCGCGGUGCUCUUUACCGAGUGUCGAGGUAGGCCGACACAUUUUACUUUGAACAAAUUAGAGUGCUUAAAGCAGGCUCUUAAAUCAGCCUGAAUAGUGGUGCAUGGAAUAAUGGAACAGGACCUUGGUUCUAUUUUGUUGGUUUUAGGAAUCCAAGGUAAUGAUCAAUAAGGACAGGCGGGGGCAUUCGUAUUGCGACGUUAGAGGUGAAAUUCUUGGAUCGUCGCAAGACGCACUAGAGCGAAAGC
rnacentral:rRNA from 1 species